AUUGAACGCUGGCGGCAUGCUUUACACAUGCAAGUCGAACGGUAACAGGCCUUCGGGUGCUGACGAGUGGCGCACGGGUGAGUAAUGCAUCGGAACGUGCCCAGAGGUGGGGGAUAACGCAGCGAAAGCUGUGCUAAUACCGCAUGUGAUCUGAGGAUGAAAGCGGGGGACCAGGCAGCAAUGUUUGGCCUCGCGCCUUUGGAGCGGCCGAUGUCAGAUUAGGUAGUUGGUGGGGUAAAGGCCUACCAAGCCGACGAUCUGUAGCUGGCCUGAGAGGACGACCAGCCACACUGGGACUGAGACACGGCCCAGACUCCUACGGGAGGCAGCAGUGGGGAAUAUUGGACAAUGGGCGCAAGCCUGAUCCAGCAAUGCCGCGUGCGGGAAGAAGGCCUUCGGGUUGUAAACCGCUUUUGUACGGAACGAAAAGGCUCUGGCUAAUACCUGGGGCUGAUGACGGUACCGGAAGAAUAAGCACCGGCUAACUACGUA
rnacentral:rRNA from 1 species